ACCACCAUUCGAAGUAUAUCCACACGAUGGAGCUGUCAAAAAUAGGACUGAGGAAAGAUUUUAAUGAAUGCUUCACCCACUGGAUGGCUUUCGGCUUAAUAGUAGAAGAAAUCCCUUACAAAUGCAGUCAGGGAAAUGAUUUCUGUUGUGACAAGAUGUAGAGCAGAGUCAUGUAGAUGUAAAGAGGGAAGAAAGAAGACACAGAUAUGGAAGGAAAAAGGGAAUGGAAGAGGGACAAAGUUAUGGCUGUAGAGAGGCUGCUCAGAGCCCUCACCAAGGACAGCAAUGGUCAGUGAUUUUAGGAGUACAGAAAGGGGAAGAUGUUAGAUUUAAGCAACGCUAAAGAAAAAUUUGAAUUUAACAGAAUCCUCAGUAAGAGCAAGAAGAGAUGGAAAGUAUGAAGGGAAGUUGAUAAUUCAGAUCGUGAGAUUGUCUGUUUAGGGGAAUAAAGAAGAAAUCCAGAAUGAAAGAGAAUAAGGGAGAGAGAUCUUUGAAACAGUGAGGGUGUGCAUGUAUGUUAAAAGGUAGAGUGGAUAAUGCACUCCAGCAGUUUGCUUGGUAUAAGCUUUGCUUCAUAUUUUAUAGUCAGUGAAAUCUGAGAUGGAGACAGGAGUUCCUGGGGCUACCAGGAAGGUCAUGCUAGGAGCCCCGGGGUUUAGAAAGAUACUGUACACAUGGAGAAGAUCAUUCAAAGAAGAUGUAUAAUUCUCAGUUAAAAGAAAGAAAAGAUCAGUUUUGCACAAUGAGGAAAAGUCUUCAGGUUGAGAUGGAGCUGUCCCAUAUUAACAGGAUCACAGAAAAUGUAGCUUGUGCCCAAAAUUAACAGCACCACCUUCUCUCAGCAUUCAGAAGAACAGUGAGUUAAACUGCUGUAUGCUUGAGCUGGUGGGAUCACCAUCUUCUGCAAUAAAAUACCCAGCUUGCAAUUGAAAAACAGAAGAGAAGACUGUCCUUGGCAAGAAGUCAACGCUGAGAUCUCUGAGCGUAUGCUUUAGCAUGAUGGACAGAUAACAGGCUUGAAGACUCUGCAAGAUCAUCAGUUCAACAGUCGCAGCUUCUGAUAGGGCAUGAGGCAUCUGUGUAGUCUCUUACUCAGCAUCUUUCAGUCAAAUGAAGGCUCAUAUAAUGGCUGAGAAACAUCACUCCCUCCUGCCAGGUCAGUAUUUCUGAGGUUCCUGGUACAGCCGGAGGUGGUGAACUGACAGAAAAGCUUUAGAUGCUCUUUACAGGUAUUCAGCACAACGGGAAUUUUCUGAUCUAAGCAAAAGGAAGAGUGGAUCUGCCUUGCUGCAAAAGUUCUGCCAAUCAGCAUGGAAAAAGCAGAGCCCAGGAAUAAAUGCUAUGAGAACAUAGCACAACAAGCAUGUUGUGGCUUCAGGUACACAAGAAAUUUCAGCAGUGCUAUAAUCUAUUGGAGGUGGGCAUGAAAGAGAAAAAUUGUUUUUUUCUAAGAUGCCUUUAAGUAACCUAGAGAUGUACCCUGGAAGGAGCCAUCCUGACGGGCAGUUUGUCGGUUCUUUUGUUACUUUUACUGCAGCUUCAAGUCCGGAAGCAACCAGAAAUCUCUGGUGUUUCUAUGUUCUUGGCUGCUGACAGGAUUGUUCAUGCAAAUGGCAACAGUAUGUCAGAGCUCUGAAGUGGCUCAGUGGCAGCUGACACUGAGAAGCAAAAUUGCCGUCAUUACUCCUAUGAGAAAGAAUGAAAGAAAGAUUUUAAUGACAACUUUGUCAGCAUUUAGCAAUGCUGUUUUUAAACAGCUUAAAACAUGGUUUCCAAUUUCAAUGAUAUUCAGCCUUUUCUGACCAGAUUCACAGGCUUACAAGCUUCCUAGAAGACCAGUGGUACACAACUGGCAUGAGCCAGAGCCAACAUAUGCCUGUAUUAAGGUGGUACCAUCUGGGCUGAAGCCCAUGGAAAACUCAAAACCAAAAUGACUGAAAUCCUACAAGUUAUCAGUUACUACAUCCCAGGCUGAUCUUAAAUGUAGUUCUUACAAUCAAAACCGUUGUUUUUCUUUGAGAUUUUAUUUAUAAUUUGUUUAGAUUGUUAGCUCAUGGUAUCUAGCAAAAGAAGAAAAAAAAACAGGAACACAAUUUAUAGGUAUGCCUAUAAUAUUCAUUUAAGAUUUUGCAGUGCUGUUUAUAUCCAAAUGUGGACAAAAAGUGUAAAUGAAUUUGUAGUGGUGUCUCCAAUGGACAGCUGCAGAACUACAAAAAUGGAGCUGGGAGCAGGAUGUAGCUCACACUGUUCACAGGAUAGCAAAGAGAAAAGAAGAAGAAAGCAGAAACAAUAAUUAAAAAAAACUCUGGAGAAUGCUGAUGAACAUGGAUUGAUACCACUAAUGCUUCAGGACUAAGGGUAUGAAACAGGACAAUACAAAAAAUUCCAGCCUUGCAUACUUUUGCUUUACAAUAAGAAAUACCAUCUGGUCUAUAGAUAAGAAGUAGGAAUGAAAAGCUGUCUUAGAACUGCUUGUGAGAAGGAAAAUAAUAGUUUGUUAUUUUAUACCAGUCUGUCUUUUGUGCUGAUGUCUCCAAAUAUCACUGCUUGAUUCUUUGAAUUCCCAUUUGUUCUCUUCUGGUGUAGCCGAAAUGCUAAGUCACAGCCUGAACCAGUGAUUGAAUGCCUGGUGGGAAGGCAGGGCCAACCCAGGGCAGCUCAGGUGCAUGCAAUGUACCUGAGUGACCAGAAGGGGUGGAGCCAGGAUCCACCCCUUCCCAGACCUCAUUAAGGGUUGGCAGGGGAGGUAAGGGGAUCUUGCUGGAGAUCUCUGCAUACUUAAGGCUUUUUAAAGGUAAGCAGUUGUUCUUCCUUUGUUUUUGUGUCUAGGGCUGCUGUAUUUUGGUUUGUUCUCAUUUGCUGCAGCCUAGGGUUGUGCUGCUCCACUAUUAUUGCUGUGUUUUUCAUCAUGUUAUAUCAUUACAUCUGGUUUUAUUAUCACGCACAUUGUUAACUAGUUGGAAAAAGUGUAUGUUCCAAACUGUGUUUCUUUCUCUACUACUGUGUGAUUAUUAACUCAGGUAAAUAAGUUUAAGCUAUUCUAGGGCUCAUUAGCAAUCUGCUAGAGAAUGACAGUAACUUACUCGCUUUUAAAAAAUGUUUUUGGAUUCAUGGAGUAAGAACACCAAAUACUAAUUCAAUUUUCUGAGUGAUGGUACUUACUAUUACAGCACCUGCUCUCACACUUCCACCUAUGAGUCAGAGCUGCAGCUUCUGACAGCUGUUCCCAGCCAUCUACAGAAAGAGGUGUUCAAGGGGAAAAAAUGCUUUUUGGUAACUCUGAAAGGGGUCAUAUUUCGUCUGUCAUAUAUUCAUACCACAAUUCAUACCAUCCCUGGAGAACUGGUAUGAAUUCCUUUCAUUCGCUGCCAAAUUGAUUUUACUGCUGACCAAGUAAAGCAUAGCUAUUAACUACAGGUGUUCUAUGACGUUGUUGCUCAGAUUAAGCACAGUCUUCAAUGAGAUUGCAGAGGUACAACCUUGAAAAAUAAGACUCCGUGAUUUAGCUAAUAAUUGUGAUAGACAAAACAGAAAGAGAGUAAUAAUGUAGUAAUCAGAUAUAAAUACAGAGCACGCUUGCUGACAAAGAAAAAUCUGUUUUGAGACAAUUGGUUUUCAGUUUACUUUUGUAUUUGGGAUAACUCUUAUUUGAGUUGUAGUACAUAAUUUUUGUUCUUUUUUCAGGUACUUCAGAGAGGUUAUUGCUUGGUCACAUCAAUGUGUACAUAGGUUUACUUACAAGCAAUGCGCACAGCCUUUACAAACUGAGAGUGAACAAGUUCACAUAUAGGGAAAAUAUCUAUGGUGUAUUUUUUCCAUAUAUAUAUUCUCAUUUUAGUUGUACAGAUACAGACAGUACGUAUAUACUACCUCUAUUCUGUAUCUGUAUAGAUAUAGAAAGUCUAAACAGACAAAGGCCACUGGAACGGGCUGCCCAGAAAAGUGGUAGAGUCUAUCCUGGAGGUAUUUAUGAGACUUGUGCAUACUGUGCUUAGAGACAUAGGUUAGUGGUGGACUUGGUGGUGUUAUGUAAUGAUCAGACUUGAUGAUCUUCUGGGCCUUUUCCAACCUAAGUUAUAUAUAUAUAUAAAAUCAUAAAAUAUGGAUAAUAUAUAUAAUUGGGAGCUGCAUAAAAUUGCCCAUAGGUAUAUUUUUAUCUAACUGUAAGAUCUGAAAAUCAAGCUCAAACUGUGCAUUUGAAUUUUAAUACCGUAUUCUGUAUCCUAAAGGGUCCCCAGGGUUCUAUACAGCAAAUUUUACACUGGUAUGAAUUCUUCUGCGGAGUCACCAGCCUUGCAGCGAUUUGUUUGUUAGAGAGAUCAAAGUAUGGGAAGAUAGCAAGAGAGCUUCUACAUCAUCCCUACCUGCCCAACCUCCAUGGAUUUUGCACAAAGUGUGUCCAUCAUUUAAGUCUAUGCAGAAAUGGGGAAAGAAUUUCAUAUAAACAGCUAAUAUUCAACAUCACCAAAAACCACCAUCGUUAUUUUUGCAAGAUUUCAUCCAUAUCCACUGAUUCCUUGAUUUGGGGGGAGGAGGAAAGAGGGAUUUUUUUUUUCCUCAAAAACUUGUAUAUAACAGCUUAAAUGCAAAUCAGCUGCUGGCCUGACAGAGCUGUGCUGUUUAUUAGUGUAGACAAUCAGUUAUGCUAUUCAUGUAUUGUCUUCACUUAGAAACUGCAUUUAUGGGUGAAAACACCAGUGGGGAUUUGGAUGAAGAGAAAUCUUUGAUCUUACUCCAGGACAGACUGUGUCUGUGCUAGAAUGUCAAGCAGGUAGUGUUAUGCUAAUAAUUAAAUUGAAACACCUCUGGAAGUAAAAGUGAAAUUCCUAGUAAACUACUAGCGAAUACUUACGUUACAGUGAAUAUAAAUGCACAAAUAUUUCAGUAAUGGCCAUUCUGGCAUAGAAACACGAGGGGGUUGGGGGGGACAACAAACCAGGAAUUACGUCAUACUCUGUAACUGUAUUAUCUGGUCUAGCUCAGGGACUAAUCUAGCAGGGCCACAAUGUACCCUUUGCACACCAAGUCUCUCCUUCAGGCUGUCUUGAUGCAGGGGUACGCCCUUCGGCUUAGGUGCCAUUCCUACCCAAAGUCAAGACAGAGUUUGUAUCUGCAUCUGGUCUAAGUCUCUGGCUCCAACAGCUCAAAAUUCCACCACUGCACCCAGCUUGUGUUCUUAUCCUUCCAUUUGCUUGCGGAUGCAAUGGGAUUUCUCUAACACUGGAACAGUCUCCAAUGCUGCAAUCCUAAAUUCCAGAAAUUGGAUAUAAAUUUACUUAUGUAAUCAUAAAUGCCUGCUCCAAUUUUUUUUCUGAAGUUAGUGAUAGUUCUAACACUGGUGACUUCAUAGGAUCUUAGCAUUUAAAGGCAAAAGUCUGCAAUGCUAUUACAAUGGAUGGGCUCUGAGCAUGUUACAUAGGCCACUUCAUUUCUCUGUAGAUAUAAACAGAGAGCUGAACAUGCCAAUCUAUUUUAGCUACGGGCAAAAGGUCAAUAGCUAUUCUCUUUCGUUUAAUGGAAAGAAAGCAUGAAGGACUAUGAUUUAGCCCUGCUAUCUCUGCACUAGUUUAAUUACAGUUAAAAUGAACAAAUCCCAAGUUCACAAGCAGCACUCACUUCAAGAAGAAAUCAUUUUUCUUUCUCAUUACUUUUGGUAAGCAGUUGAACUAACUAAAACUUUUAACAAAGCUUGUUUGAUAACAGUGACAUUUAAUAGUGAUAAAGCUGAGUGAAGCUCUGCUAAUACAGCUGAAGAUGAAAACUCAGGAUUUUCAAAGGGAAUGUUCUGAAGAUGCAAAUGUUUAUAUUUAAUACAGUAUUUUAGGUGCUGAACCUUCAGCGUUUUCAGCAACUUCUGAAGAUGCUGCGAAGCACUGAUUAAUUUAUUUAGUGUCUCAAGAGGGCAAGAAUGACUAUAGUUGACUGGUUGCUGCACUCAUACUCAAGUUGGACGAGAAGGAAGUAUUCUAGGUUUGGAUUCCUUGUUGAUGCAGAGUUACUAAGAAACACAGUCUUGACACUGUCACUUGCUGUAACCAUGUGGUUCCUAUAUUUUGCCUAAUUCUUGAAUAAGCAAUGAACACAGGAAAAUGUUUCUGUCCAGCGUCUGUGUAAUUACUGGCAACACCAAGAGAAGUCAAGGAAAUUCUGUUGUAGGUGAUGAUAGGGAAAUUUGCAGUGUGAAAGUGCUUCAAGAAAGGGAAGGAGAAGAACUUGGGCUUCUGGCAGCCCCAACUGUUAAAUCAGUAGUUAAAAGAGAAAUGCAAUGCAGAAGGAUCAUCAUAUUGCCUUAAUAUGAAACUUACCUUGUCAGAAUACAUGUCCGUUAGCACACUAAAGACCAGGGGCAAGGAAAUGUGAAGUCUAACCAUGGGCACUGGGGAACUCAAGGCUCUGCCCUUCAUCUUUAUUGCACUACGAUUUUGCUGGUGGAAACCAUAAUGUCCAGAAAUUUUAUAAACCUCCAGGAGAUGUGGCAAACAAAUGGGACAAUGAAGGGUUUAUUUUUUAACUUAAUGCUGGGCCUUUAGGCAGUACUAAAAUUUCUACAUGUUUUGUAGAUGUAGUUCUUAAUUAUUAUUUGAUAAUAUAAAACAUUAUUCAAUUAUUUAUAAUAAAAUAUGUAAUAAUAGUAACAUUUAAUUUCUUAAAUGUGGUUUCUUAAUAAUUAUAUCAUUAUGAUUUAUUUAGGGAAACUACAGCUGUUAAUAAUAAACAGUCUUCCUCUGCCCAUCAUACUAAGACCUUCAAACUGGUACCUCAAAUCUAGCCAACUUAGGAAGGUGUGAAAAAAAUUCUUUACUUGGGUGUUUUUAAAACAAGGCUACUGAAUGGGGAAAAUAAGCACAAGCACUUCUCUAAUGAAUUGAGUAAGACAGCCUCUACUUCGUUUUAAAAAGACCAAAAGAAAAUCUCACAGUUAAUAGCUCUACUUUGGCAGAAAAGAGAGGCAGAGAUUAAUGUGACAUUCUGCUGGUACAAGCCUGCGUGUAUGAAAGGGAGAGUGAUUACAUCCCAUAAUGAAACUAGACAAAAUUAUAUAUUUCUACUCACUGUGGAUAAAAGGCAGAGAGGAAAAAAAAAUCUUUCUUAUUGAACUAAAUUUUCCAGGACAGUGAGUUAGUGCAUUCCUAAACAACAUUCUAGCAGUAUUUCUCCAUUUCGUAUCUUCUCUUGCAAUAUUUAUUCUUGCAUAUUUCCCUGCAUAUGAGGUAAUCUGUAUAUUAGUUUUAUCUGUGUAUAUAUAUUUGUCACGAGGAAAGAUUCCUAUCUCUCAGUACUUCUGAAAUAACUACGCAGACCUGUUGUGAAGAGUAACACUUCC